rnacentral:lncRNA from 1 species
CUCAAAUUAAAAAAAAAAUAUGCAUAUGUUUUUUAAAACUAAAUGGAUAGUUUUCAUUAUACAACUUAUGUACAUAUACUUUUUUCUGAGGAAAUUCUUUAAUUGUCCACAUUUAGAAGAAGUUUACUUAUUUUUAAUUGCUUGCUGCCAGGAAGCAAUUCGCCGACAUAUUUUCCGUAUGCAUAGUGACCUAAGCGUGACCC